rnacentral:rRNA from 1 species
CCUACGGGAGGCUGCAGUGGGGAAUAUUGCACAAUGGGGGAAACCCUGAUGCAGCGACACCGCGUGAAGGAAGAAGUAUUUCGGUAUGUAAACUUCUAUCAGCAGGGAAGAAAAUGACGGUACCUGACUAAGAAGCCCCGGCUAACGACGUGCCAGCAGCCGCGGUACUACGUAGGGGGCAAGCGUUAUCCGGAUUUACUGGGUGCAAAGGGAGCGUAGGCGGUGCAGCAAGUCAGAAGUGAAAGCCCGGGGCUCAACUCCGGGACUGCUUUUGAAACUGUUGAACUUGAUUGCAGGAAAGGUUAGUGGAAUUCCUAGUGUAGCGGUGAAAUGCGUAGAUAUUAGGAGGAACACCAGUGGCGAAGGCGACUGACUGGACUGUAAAUGACGCUGAGGCUCGAAAGCGUGGGGAGCAAACAGGAUUAGAUACCCGGGUAGUC